UAAGAGAGAUGAGCCUGGGGAAGUCCU
rnacentral:piRNA from 1 species